rnacentral:rRNA from 1 species
UACGUAGGGUGCGAGCGUUUAAUCGGAAUUACUGGGCGUAAAGCGUGCGCAGGCGGUGAUGUAAGACAGGUGUGAAAUCCCCGGGCUUAACCUGGGAACUGCAUUUGUGACUGCAUAGCUAGAGUACGGUAGAGGGGGAUGGAAUUCCGCGUGUAGCAGUGAAAUGCGUAGAUAUGCGGAGGAACACCGAUGGCGAAGGCAAUCCCCUGGACCUGUACUGACGCUCAUGCACGAAAGGCGUGGGGAGCAAACGAGG